rnacentral:rRNA from 1 species
AGAGUUUGAUCAUGGCUCAGGAUGAACGCUAGCGGAGGCCUAACACAUGCAAGCCGAGCGGGUAUUGUUUCUUCGGAAAUGAGAGAGCGGGCGUACGGGUGCGGAACACGUGUGCAACCUGCCUUUAUCUGGGGGAUAGCCUUUCGAAAGGAAGAUUAAUACUCCAUAAUAUAUUGAACGGCAUCGUUUAAUAUUGAAAGCUCCGGCGGAUAGAGAUGGGCACGCGCAAGAUUAGCUAGUUGGUGAGGUAACGGCUCACCAAGGCAAUGAUCUUUAGGGGGCCUGAGAGGGUGAUCCCCCACACUGGUACUGAGACACGGACCAGACUCCUACGGGAGGCAGCAGUGAGGAAUAUUGGUCAAUGGGUGCAAGCCUGAACCAGCCAUCCCGCGUGAAGGACGACUGCCCUAUGGGUUGUAAACUUCUUUUGUAUAGGGAUAAACCUUUCCACGUGUGGAAAGCUGAAGGUACUAUACGAAUAAGCACCGGCUAACUCCGUG